UGGCGCCGUCGCCGACGUGGGUCGACGGUACAGUGCUGGCGCUGUUGGCGCAGUUGGCGCUGGCGUUGGUGCUGUUCGAGCUCGGCGGGCGCAUCC
rnacentral:tRNA from 1 species